ACAUUGAAAUUUAAGGAAUUACACAUGCCUAAGUGCUUUCUUGAAUGAAGCCCAAAGUUUGUAUUCCAAAGAGAGCUAAAAACACUGUGGCUGAAAGCCACACACUGCUCUAAAGGCCGUGGCAAGGGAGCUACAAUUCAGCAGAUGCUCCCAGGAGGGUGCGGGUAGUAAGGGAAGGGAGUCCAGAUUUAUGCGUGUUGCAAAAGAAAACCUAUUUUCCAUUUGUAAGGCACUGCCCUAUCCCUCUUGAGGAAAGUAUAUAGUGUUUUUCUUUCAUUCCCUGUUCAUUCCUCUUCCCAAACCUGGUAGAAUUUAACUAAUCCCUCAUGCUCACUGUUUUGCAAAGUUCACCUAUCAGAUCCAUCAGGUCCACUGCCUUGAUGCUGUGGAGUAUGCGUGAAGAGGAUACAAAGAGACCUAGGGGAUCUCUGCAAACCAGGCACAGGAGUUUGGUUAGACCGUUGCCUUGGCCUUUGCAGAGGCAGGUAAAUGUCUGCCUCCCUUUUCCCAGAAAAUGAUAAUACUGAACAAGAAUAGUGACACUAACAAGCAUUCUAAACAAGGUGAAAUUCCUUUAGGACUGUUCACUUGUUAUAGCCCAUGCUCACAUCCAUAUUCAUAGUAGCAGAACUGCUUUCAAAAUAGAGAAUCCCUCCUCAUUGGCUACCAAGAGAUACAAUAGUUUACAGUAUCUUCUGUCAAAUGACCUCCACAGGGAAGACUAAGUUUUGUACUGUGGUAAGUGUACCCCUGCACACGCUGAUGUAGACCAGCAGUUUGUGUGUGCCUGGGUUGGGCUGAAUUAGUCAAUAACCUGAGAGAAAUGGGUUUUGCUAGGUAUCACAUGUAUCCUGAUAGUAUUACUAGGUGACUUCCAGUUUCUUCCAUUUUUGCCUCCUGCUUUGUUCAAAAUACAGCAGAAUGUCAUUUAGUUCAGGUUUUUUCCCUGCUAAGUCACAUGUGGACAAACUCUACCAGGAGUUGAUGAAUAAUAAUGUCACUCUGAAGGGACACUUGGGUGACAGUUGAUAAUUCAUGUAUCAUUACCUUGUUGUCUUCCUGGGGAAGAGUCACUGAAAUCAGCACACCUCCUCCAUGACCACCAGAGGCUAGCUCACCUGACUGCCACAAAUUCCUUGUGUGGCCUCAGACAAUGCACUCAGCCUCCCAUCAGCUUCCUUUUCUCCAUUCCUGGUCCUUUUUCUCCUUUCCAUCUGCAAUCUCCAGUACAUCUUGUACACUGGGAGAAGGCCUAGUGCCAUCAGGCCCCGCUCUUUUGUAGAGAUGAUCUGCACUGCCCAGAAGAAGAGAUCACGCAGAGAAGUAAGAGAUUUCAGACAAACCAUUCUCUCUAGCUCCAGCAGUUGUUGCCCUUGAUUUGCCAGUUUGAUAGUGGCAACUUUCAAGUCAAUAUGCAAAGUCACAGGAAAAAAAAUAACCUAACCUUAACUCUUAAGAUUGUUUUGAACCAUCAUGUAUCAUAUUAUUGAUAUUUUAUCUGUUAGAUAUUUGCUCUUUUUAAAUGCAAAGUGUUUAUUUUUCUAUUAUGCAGAAACAUUUUCAGUGUAGUGACUUUUGGUUUCAGUUUACCUAAUGGGUGUGAAAAGAGCACUUUCUUUAUUUGAACUCAUUCAUUCACAGUUAAGAAAUCAGUCGGGAGUGGAAGAAGCAGCAAUGCUCAUUUCCUCUUCCAGCCUGUGGCUAGAAACAGGUGGACAAGGUCAAGACAUGCUCAUUUUAGAAACAAGAAGGAUAUGGUCUUUCUCAUGGUCAGAGAAGUUAGAUGUUUCCCCUGCUCAAUCAUCUGGUCAUGUGCCUGAGCAUCAGAAAGGAUCUCCUGGUUACCUGCCACCCAUUACAGCAAGCAGACCUUCAUGCCCUUUAUGACCUGUCUCUCCAGCAUGGAUUGCCCCCUUUUCAAAGUUUUUUUGCCAGUGCAAGAAUAAAACUAAUUUCCUGGACGCUUCUGCUAAAGCAGACCUCAAGUGAUGUUUUGGUACUAAAU